GCGUCAGUGGUGCAACGGUUAGCAUACGCUCCCUGAAAGACUGAGAUCUUUGUUCGAAUCCCGGCUGAUGCA